GACGAACGCUGGCGGCGUGCCUAAUACAUGCAAGUCGAGCGCAGGAAGUCAUCCGAACCCUUCGGGGGGACGUUGACGGAAUGAGCGGCGGACGGGUGAGUAACACGUAAAGAACCUGCCCUCAGGUCUGGGAUAACCACGAGAAAUCGGGGCUAAUACCUGAUGGGUCAUCGGACCGCAUGGUCCGAGGAUGAAAGGCGCUCCGGCGUCGCCUGGGGAUGGCUUUGCGGUGCAUUAGCUAGUUGGUGGGGUAAUGGCCCACCAAGGCGACGAUGCAUAGCCGACCUGAGAGGGUGAUCGGCCACACUGGGACUGAGACACGGCCCAGACUCCUACGGGAGGCAGCAGUAGGGAAUCUUCCACAAUGGACGAAAGUCUGAUGGAGCAACGCCGCGUGAACGAUGAAGGCCCUCGGGUCGUAAAGUUCUGUUGUAAGGGAAGAACAAGUGCCGCAGGCAAUGGCGGCACCUUGACGGUACCUUGCGAGAAAGCCACGGCUAACUACGUG
rnacentral:rRNA from 1 species